CGGAGCAGCGUCUGCAGCAUCCAGCUGUGUGUCUGUGAGGAGUGACUGGUCCAAAGAAAGACCUCCAAACUUCAGUCAUGGAGCUCAGCUGACCAUGGGUCAGAGGUCACAGUCUCCAGCAUCCAGCUGUGUGUCUGUGAGGAGUGACUGGUCCAAAGAAAGACCUCCACACUUCAGUCAUGAACCUGCAGCAACAAUGGGUCAGAGGUCACAGUCUCCAGCAUCCAGCUGUGUGUCUGUGAGGAGUGACUGGUCCAAAGAAAGACCUCCAAACUUCAGUCAAGGAGCUCAGCUGACCAUGUAAGAGAGCUGCUGACUGUAAUUCUACCAGUGACAUCAUAGUUUAUUC